rnacentral:tRNA from 1 species
GGCCCCAUCGUCUAGCGGCUAGGACAUCAGGUUUUCAUCCUGGGAACAGGAGUUCAAUUCUCCUUGGGGUCA